rnacentral:tRNA from 1 species
GCCUGGGUGGCUCAGUCAGUUAAGCAUCUGACUUCGGCUCAGGUCAUGAUCUCACUGUCUGUGGGUUCAAGACCUACAUCGGGCU